rnacentral:rRNA from 1 species
UACGUAGGUGGCAAGCGUUGUCCGGAAUUAUUGGGCGUAAAGCGCGCGCAGGCGGUCCUUUAAGUCGGAUGUGAAAUCCCUCGGCUCAACCGAGGAACUGCAUCCGAUACUGGCGGGCUUGAAUCCGGGAGAGGGAUGUGGAAUUCCAGGUGUAGCGGUGAAAUGCGUAGAUAUCUGGAGGAACACCGGUGGCGAAGGCGGCAUCCUGGACCGGUAUUGACGCUGAGGCGCGAAAGCUAGGGGAGCAAACGGG